rnacentral:rRNA from 1 species
UACGGAGGAUGCAAGCGUUAUCCGGAAUGAUUGGGCGUAAAGCGUCCGCAGGUGGCUAUGUAAGUCUGCUGUUAAAGAGUCUAGCUCAACUAGAUAAGAGCAGUGGAAACUACAAGGCUAGAGUGCGUUCGGGGCAGAGGGAAUUCCUGGUGUAGCGGUGAAAUGCGUAGAGAUCAGGAAGAACACCGGUGGCGAAAGCGCUCUGCUAGGCCGCAACUGACACUGAGGGACGAAAGCUAGGGGAGCGAAUGGG